UUGAAGGCAACGUCCAGAAGGAGAACGGAGAAGGAGAAGGUCCAUCUCUCGGCUUCCAACCUCAACCCAACAUGGAAGCCCACCAAGAAAACAAGACCUGGGAAUUGAUGCCGUCCACGCAACUCUGGGGUGGCUUAUUUCGUUGGCUCCUCGAAGGCCAAACCAACCACCGAAGGCCCACGUGGAUGGAGAACUCGGCAGCCAAAACCAUCAUGAGAACUUCCAA